rnacentral:rRNA from 1 species
AAAUUGAAGAGUUUGAUCAUGGCUCAGAUUGAACGCUGGCGGCAGGCCUAACACAUGCAAGUCGAACGGUAACAGGAAGCAGCUUGCUGCUUUGCUGACGAGUGGCGGACGGGUGAGUAAUGUCUGGGAAACUGCCUGAUGGAGGGGGAUAACUACUGGAAACGGUGGCUAAUACCGCAUAACGUCGCAAGACCAAAGAGGGGGACCUUCGGGCCUCUUGCCAUCAGAUGUGCCCAGAUGGGAUUAGCUUGUUGGUGAGGUAACGGCUCACCAAGGCGACGAUCCCUAGCUGGUCUGAGAGGAUGACCAGCCACACUGGAACUGAGACACGGUCCAGACUCCUACGGGAGGCAGCAGUGGGGAAUAUUGCACAAUGGGCGCAAGCCUGAUGCAGCCAUGCCGCGUGUAUGAAGAAGUCCUUCGGGUUGUAAAGUACUUUCAGCGGGGAGGAAGGUGUUGUGGUUAAUAACCACAGCAAUUGACGUUACCC